GGUCCCGUAACUCAGCCGGAUAGAGUGCGAAAUUCCUAAUUUCGAAGCCGCGCGUUCGAAUCGCGCCGGGACCACCA
rnacentral:tRNA from 1 species